AUCAUGUGGACCUCCCUUGUGCUUCUGGGGUUUUUGGUUGUCCGUUGCACGUCUGGCGCCUCUUAUACCGCAGUGCCAUCUGACACCCUGCCACUCGAUCCUGGGGUAACGCCAGCACCCAGCCUCGAUCUCUCCUACUGCCAGAUGCUUCUGGAGGCUCCAGUGCCACCUACUGCUGACCAGGUGCCCUGGUUCUGCAUGUGCUCCACCUGUCCCAACAACGCAGGACAGAAGGGAGAACAAGGAGACCCUGGACUGAGAGGACCUCCAGGUCGCACUGGCCCAAGGGGGCUAACAGGACCCCGUGGCCCACCAGGACACAUCGGUCAGCAGGGGAUAAAGGGUGAGAAAGGUGACGAUGGAGUGAAAGGAGAUCCAGGUGUAGCGGGACCCACUGGUGCUAAGGGACAGAUUGGAAUGAAAGGUAAAUUAGAAACAAUAAAUCU
rnacentral:lncRNA from 1 species